GAUGAACGCUGGCGGCGUGCCUAAUACAUGCGAGUCGAGCGAACAGACGAGGAGCUUGCUCCUCUGACGUUAGCGGCGGACGGGUGAGUAACACGUGGAUAACCUACCUAUAAGACUGGGAUAACUUCGGGAAACCGGAGCUAAUACCGAAUAAUAUAUUGAACCGCAUGGUUCAAUAGUGAAAGACGGUUUUGCUGUCACUUAUAGAUGGAUCCGCGCCGCAUUAGCUAGUUGGUAAGGUAACGGCUUACCAAGGCGACGAUGCGUAGCCGACCUGAGAGGGUGAUCGGCCACACUGGAGCUGAGCCACGGUCCAGACUCCUACGGGAGGCCGCAGUAGGGAAUCUUCCGCAAUGGGCGAAAGCCUGACGGAGCAACGCCGCGUGAGUGAUGAAGGUCUUCGGAUCGUAAAACUCUGUUAUUAGGGAAGAACAAAUGUGUAAGUAACUAUGCACGUCUUGACGGUACCUAAUCAGAAAGCCACGGCUAACUACGUG
rnacentral:rRNA from 1 species